rnacentral:rRNA from 1 species
CCCUUAGAUGUUCUGGGCCGCACACGCGCUACACUGAAGGAGGCAGCGUGUACUCCUGGAUCGAAAGAUUUGGGUAACCCGCGAAUCUCCUUCGUGCUAGGGAUUGAGGUUUGCAAUUAUCCUUCAUGAACGAGGAAUUCCCAGUAAGUGCAAGUCAUAAGCUUGCGCUGACUACGUCCCUGCCCUUUGUACACACCGCCCGUCGCUACUACCGAUUGAAUGAUUUAGUGAGGACUUCGGACUGGGACCGAUGCGGCUUUCGGGCUGCGUCGGUACUCUGGAAAGAUGUCCAAACUGUAUCAUUUAGAGGAAGUAAAAGUCGUANCA